rnacentral:rRNA from 1 species
UACGGAGGAUGCGAGCGUUAUCCGGAUUUAUUGGGUUUAAAGGGUGCGUAGGCGGGUUAUCAAGUCAGCGGUAAAAUCGUGGAGCUCAACUCCAUCCAGCCGUUGAAACUGAUGAUCUUGAGUGGGCGAGAAGUAUGCGGAAUGCGUGGUGUAGCGGUAAAAUGCGUAAAUAUAUGUAAGAACACCGGUGGCGAAGGCGGCUUGCUGGGCCUGUACUGACAUUGAGGCACGAAAGCGUGGGGAGCAAACAGG